rnacentral:rRNA from 1 species
GACGAACGCUGGCGGCGUGCCUAAUACAUGCAAGUCGACCUGAGUUGCGAACGGGUGAGUAACGCGUAGGAACCUGCCUCAUAGCGGGGGUAAACUAUUGAAAACGAUAGCAAAUACCCCAUACUGUGAGAUGGACCUGUGUGUUAUUAGCUAGUUGGUGAGGUAAAGGCCUACCAGGGCGACGAUCCGUACCUGGUCUGAGAGGAUGAUCAGUCACACUGGAACUGAGACACGGCCCAGACUCGUACGGGAGGCAGCAGUGGGGAAUAUUGGACAAUGGGCGAAAGCCUGAUCCAGCCAUGCCGCGUGUGUGAAGAAGGCCUUGGGAUUGUAAAGCACUUUAAGUUGGGAGGCGUUACCAACAGAAUAAGCACCGGCUAACUCCGUGCCAGCAGCCGCGGUAAUAC